AUUGAACGCUAGCGGCAGGCCUAACACACGCAAGUCGAGCGAGCGGCGGACGGGUGAGUAAUGUAUGGGGACUGCCCGAUAGAGGGGGAUAACUACUGGAAACGGUGGCUAAUACCGCAUACUAUCGGAUAACCCAUAUGGGAUUAGCUAGUAGGUGGGGUAAAGGCUCACCUAGGCGACGAUCUCUAGCUGGUUUGAGAGGAUGACCAGCCACACUGGGACGGAGACACGGCCAAGACUCCUAAGGAGGCAGCAGUGGGGAAUAUUGCACAAUGGGCGAAAGCCUGAUUCAGCCAGGCCGCGUGUAUGAAGAAGGCCUUAGGGUUGUAAAGUACUUUUAGCGGGGAGGCGUUAUCUGCAGAAGAAGCACCGGCUAACUCCGUGCCAGCAGCCGCGGUAAUAC
rnacentral:rRNA from 1 species